rnacentral:lncRNA from 1 species
ACCUCUUUCAGGAAGCCCUCAAGAACCCCCCAGGAGCUGUGUGUGUCUGUGUGUCUGUCUACCUGGCAAGGAGAUAUGGCCCCCAUCAGACUGGAGCUCCACAGAGCAGGUCAAGCGAUUCUCCUGCCUCGGCCUCCCAAGGAACUGGAACCACAGGCGCGCGCCACUGCGCCCAAGGAUUUUCACUUUUAACUGUACAGUGAAGCACAGACUUCUGAGCCAGACUGCUUGGUCUGAACUCUGGUGUCACCACUUAGUAAGUUCUGGUUUGAAUGUACUCACUGAGUGGUCUUCAUAAAUUACCUCUCUGCACUUGAGUCUCCUGUCUGUAAAAUGGGGAUAAUAAUCAUUACAACGAAGCCUCAUAGGAUUCUGGUGGAGACCAAAUGCAUUAAUACAUAUGCAAAGCAUUUGGAACAGCUGGCAUAUAUAAGUGCCAUAUAUCUAUUAUUAAAAAUUUUUAAAUUAUA